AUUUAUGACUCGUGACUUUCAUGUCUUGACUGCUUACUAUAUGUGGCAGACCGACUGAGUACUUCCGCCAAUCACGCUUCCUACUAAUCCCCGAGUACUAUAAGCACUGCACCGGACACCACAAGCACUGUAGCCCCUUAGCCGCCGCAGCUUGGCUGGGGUCUCGCCUUCUCUGCCCACCCUGGACCCAAGUCCUGGAUCCAACUUCCAGUGGGUAGACCUCUCCUCCUGAGAGUAUAGCAAUCAAUACUGCAGUAUAGCUGUCCCCCCCCCACACAUGAGCGGAGGCUUAAUGCUGGGAGUUAGACCGUUUAAUGCAGGCUAACACUCACAAUUUAUACACACAUUUUAACCCCAGACAGCCUCAUUUA